UACGUAGGGUGCAAGCGUUAAUCGGAAUUACUGGGCGUAAAGCGUGCGCAGGCGGUGAUGUAAGACAGAUGUGAAAUCCCCGGGCUCAACCUGGGAACUGCAUUUGUGACUGCAUCGCUGGAGUGCGGCAGAGGGGGAUGGAAUUCCGCGUGUAGCAGUGAAAUGCGUAGAUAUCGAGAGGAACACCGGUGGCGAAGGCGAGUCCCUGGACAAUCCCUGACACUGAGGCACGAAAGCUAGGGGAGCAAACAGG
rnacentral:rRNA from 1 species